rnacentral:rRNA from 1 species
CAUGAUGAACGCUAGCGGCGCGCUUACGCAUGCAAGUCGAGCGAUGAUGCUCCCUUCGGGGAGUACAUCAGCGGCAGACGGGUGAGUAACACGUAGAUAACCUGCCCUCAAGACGGGGACAACCGGUGGAAACAGCGGCUAAUACCCGAUAUGCUCACAGGAUCGGGAGAUCGAGUGAGGAAAGGCUUUGGUGCUUGAGGAGGGAUCUGCGGCCCAUCAGCUAGUUGGUGAGGUAACGGCUCACCAAGGCGAAGACGGGUAGGGGGUGUGAGAGCAUGGCCCCCCACAAUGGGACUGAGACACGGCCCAUACUCCUACGGGAGGCAGCAGCGGGGAAUAUUGCGCAAUGGACGGAAGUCAGACGCAGCGACGCCGCGUGGGUGAGGAAGGCCUUCGGGUUGUAAAGCCCUUUUCAGGGGAGCGAGAAAGGACGGUACCCUUGGAAUAAGCGUCGGCUAACUACGUGCCAGCAGCCGCGGUAAGACGUAGGACGCAAGCGUUAUCCGGAUUUACUGGGCGUAAAGCGCCUGUAGGCGGUCAAGUAAGUCGGAUGUGAAAGCCCCGUGCUCAACGCGGGGAAGCCAUUCGAUACUGCGUGACUAGAGAACGGCAGAGGGAAACGGAAUUUCUGGUGUAGCGGUAAAAUGCGCAGAGAUCAGAAAGAACACCGAUGGCGAAGGCAGUUUCCUAGGCCGCAUCUGACGCUGAGAGGCGAAAGCUAGGGGAGCAAACCGGAUUAGAGACCCUGGUAGUCCUAGCUGUAAACGAUGGAUGCUAUGUGUGGGNCGGAAAGGUCCGUGCCGUAGUUAACGCGAUAAGCAUUCCGNCUGGGGAGUACGGCCGCAAUGCUAAAACUCAAACGAAUUGACGGUGACCCGCACAAGCAGCGGA